rnacentral:rRNA from 1 species
GGGAACAACAGCUGGAAACGGCUGCUAAUACCCCAUAGGCUGAGGAGCAAAAGGAGGAAUCCGCCCAAUGAGGGGCUCGCGUCUGAUUAGUUAGUUGGUGAGGCAAUGGCUUACCAAGGCGACGAUCAGUAGCUGGUCCGAGAGGAUGAUCAGCCACACUGGGGCUGAUACACGGCCCAUACUCCUACGGGAGGCAGCUGUGGGGUAAUU